rnacentral:rRNA from 1 species
AUGCACGCUGGCGGCGUGCCUAAUACAUGCCAGUCGAGCGAACAGACGAGGAGCUUGCUCCUCUGACGUUAGCGGCGGACGGGUGAGUAACACGUGGAUAACCUACCUAUAAGACUGGGAUAACUUCGGGAAACCGGAGCUAAUACCGGAUAAUAUAUUGAACCGCAUGGUUCAAUAGUGAAAGACGGUUUUGCUGUCACUUAUAGAUGGAUCCGCGCCGCAUUAGCUAGUUGGUAAGGUAACGGCUUACCAAGGCAACGAUGCGUAGCCGACCUGAGAGGGUGAUCGGCCACACUGGAACUGAGACACGGUCCAGACUCCUACGGGAGGCAGCAGUAGGGAAUCUUCCGCAAUGGGCGAAAGCCUGACGGAGCAACGCCGCGUGAGUGAUGAAGGUCUUCGGAUCGUAAAACUCUGUUAUUAGAGAAGAACAAAUGUGUAAGUAACUAUGCACGUCUUGACGGUACCUAAUCAGAAAGCCACGGCUAACUACGUG